rnacentral:rRNA from 1 species
CCUACGGGUGACAGCAGUGAGGAAUAUUGGUCAAUGGCCGGAAGGCUGAACCAGCCAAGCCGCGUGAAGGACGAAGGUGCCAAGCAUUGUAAACUUCUUUUGUCAAGGGACAAAAUCAGGCUCGAGAGCCUGACCGAGGGUCCUUGAAGAAAAAGCAUCGGCUACCUCCGUGCCAGCAGCCGCGGUAAUCCGGAGGAUGCGAGCGUUAUCCGGAUUUAUUGGGUUUAAAGGGUGCGUAGGCGGACUGUUAAGUCAGCGGUAAAAGCCCGGGGCUCAACCCCGGCGAGCCGUUGAAACUGGCUGUCGUGAGAUGGCGAGAGGUAUGCGGAAUGCGCAGGGUAGCGGUGAAAUGCUUAGAUAUUGCGCAGAACUCCGAUUGCGAAGGCAGCAUACCGGCGGCGAUCUGACGCUGAGGCACGAAAGCGUGGGUAUCGAACAGGAUUAGAUACCCCGGUAGUC